UUUGGGAAAUGAAGACAAAAUUGAAAUGUUCAACAGAGGUAGAUGCUAUGCUAUGCUGAACUAUAUUGCACGUCAGUCUGAUCCCAAA